GCCUUCGUGGUGUAGUGGUCUGCAUACUGGGCGCCUAAUCCAGAGGUCCGUGGUUCGAUUCCCGGCGAAGGCG
rnacentral:tRNA from 1 species